UACGGAGGGUGCGAGCGUUAAUCGGAAUUACUGGGCGUAAAGCGUGCGUAGGCGGAUUGUUAAGCGAGAUGUGAAAUCCCGGGGCUCAACCUCGGAACUGCAUUUCGAACUGGCAGUCUAGAGUAUUGUAGAGGGUGGUGGAAUUUCCAGUGUAGCGGUGAAAUGCGUAGAGAUUGGAAGGAACAUCAGUGGCGAAGGCGGCCACCUGGACAAAUACUGACGCUGAGGCACGAAAGCGUGGGGAGCGAACAGG
rnacentral:rRNA from 1 species